GGUGAUCAGUGAGAUUUUCCACGCCUUAGGAAAGUGUUCAAGGCGGAGGAUAGCGUUAAAGAUUGAUGCGAUGAGUGCAAUCCCUUUUAUGGGAAGUUCCUUGAUUGCUUUAUUUCCUAUUUGGUCGUGACCUGCUGCUUUCUUGGGGUUUAGGCGACUGAUUGCUUCUAUGAUCUCUGCAGAAGUGAAGGGUUCAAUAGGAGGGGACAUUUGGAAGGGAGUGUGCAGGUAUUCGGUGACGUCCGCUGCAGCUAUGGAGGAAUGGGGUUUGAAUACUUCAGUCAAGUGUUUGGCAAAUAGUUCCGCCUGGGCAGGCGACCUAAACGGACGUGCGAAACAGUGCUCCAGUGAAAGUGCGGCAAGAGGGAAGAGAAAGGGACAAAGUAAACGCCAAAAAUCGACAAAACGUGGAAUCAUGCAGACUCCACCAAUAAAAAUAGUUAAUUCCGGUGAAACAUAUUUCAUAAAUAAAG
rnacentral:misc_RNA from 1 species